GGCGGCUCCGGCGAGGGAUUCCUCGGGCAGCGGCCGGGACCGGGCGCUGCUGCAGAGGAUCAACCGGUACACGAGGGCCGGCAUCAGCGAAGGUAAGCGCCGCGCGAAGCGCUACGUCCAGAAAGCCCUGUCCUUCGCGCUGGAGAGGGGUUACCUCGUGCCGGCGGAUCGCGAGGGCAAGCUGCUGCGCGUCUCCUGCAUCCUCGUCAAGCCCGCCGCCAGGAAGCGGCAGCGCCGGCGCGGGAGCAGGAGCGGCGGGAGGAAGUCGAUCGCGGGGCAGGGCGACGAGAGCAGGCGGAAGCGGCAGGCGAGAAAGCGGCCGAGCGGGGCCGUCGCCCUAGAGAGGAAGACCGCAGCGCCGCGGCAGUUUAUUUCUCUUCUCUUUGCCUCCGAUGCCGAAUGAGCAGUGAGUAAACUCGAAGCGAG